UCUUAAUAUAUUGUCUUUCGAUAAAUUAUAUGAAAUAUGGACACCCAAAAAUUUCACUUCAGAUGUAGUGGGUAACAAACAAUUAUUAUAUUGCACAGCAGGUGUACUGUGACAAUGUUUACCAAAUACAAUAACUUUAGACUUGGAUGGAUUCACACUGAGAUCAAGGAAUCCCUAUUUGUAAUAACUCAAGGCAUAGAAUAUCUAUGUUUACACUAUUAAAAGCACCUGCGAUGUCAAAGAAUACACCGACCAAGUUUUCAAUUUAUGGAUAUAGAGUUUUGUAUAUCCAGCUGUAACUGGCAAACGCUUUCUCUAGCAGAACGAUUUCUACGAAAACCAAAUUGAUUGGAAGGAAUAUGAUAACUAGUACCAAGAGGACAAUCAUGUACAGACCAGUCACAGUUGAGAGCCAGUGAUGAAGAUACCAAUGAUAAAUCCAAAGCAUUGGGUCGCCAUGUUGGAGAACCGAUAGUCGUUGCUUGCCCAUCAUUAAGGAGAACCAAAUUAUUAUCCUCAAUAACCUCUAGAAUAUUUCGACCACGCGGGCUGUCGGAACCACAGCCCCAACAAGUGUGAUGAGCGUUAAAAUCGCCCGCAAAUAUGAAAGGACUAGGAAUAGACUUAACCAAUGUAUCAAAAUUGUUUUGCUGAAGACUGGGUUAGAGUUUAAAGGACUAUAGAAACUAACUAUACAUAUAUCUUUAUUAUUAACUGUUAUUUUCACACAUACAUUUUGUAAGGAAUUAUCGAAAUAGGUGUUAAUUCUAGAAUAAAUAAUGCUUUUAUGUAUUAUAAUUGCAACACCAUUGUGUUUGUUACCACAAUCAUUCCUUUCAACAUUGUAAUUUUUAAUUUUAAAAUUUUGUUCAGGUUUUAACCAAGUUUCACUGAUUAUAGCAAUAUGAAUAUUGUGUGUAUAAAGAAAAUUAAUAAAUAUAUGUUUGUUACUAUUCAGACUUUGGGCAUUCCAUUGUAUUAUAUUUAAAGUUGAUAAAUCCAUUAUGAAGAUGAAGGGAAUUUAUUACUUAGCGUUGCUUUUAAAACUUCUUUAAUGGAAGUAGAAUUAAUAGGGGCAUCUUUAUUACUUAUUAUUUUAAUAAUUGUUUCAACUAAUGUGCUUAUAAAUGUAUCCGAUUUCAUUAAAUUAUUAAUUUGCGUAUCUAAAGUACGAGCAGAAAGAGCUGGAAAUGCAUUGGAGUCAAAAAGUUCUGAAUAUGUGGCAUUUCUAGAUUUUAUUUUAUUUUCUUCAA
rnacentral:lncRNA from 1 species